GAAACGGCAAACCGUUGGAAACGGCGGGACGCAAAGCCACCGGCCUGGCUCUUAUCGCGGAUUAUUGCGCGCGGGAGCGGCAGCGGGGCUUCCGA
rnacentral:ncRNA from 1 species